GCCAGGCAUGGUGGGGCAUGCCUGUAGUCCCAGCCACUUAGGAGGCUGAGGUGGGAGGAUUGCUUGAGCCUAGGAGGUUGAGACUGUAGUGAGCUAUGAUGGCACCAUUGCAUUCCAGCCUGGGUGACAGAGCAAGACCCUGUCUCUU
ensembl:misc_RNA Metazoa_SRP Metazoan signal recognition particle RNA